rnacentral:misc_RNA from 1 species
GGAAGCGAUGCGGCCGGGGGGAACGUUGAAGAUCAGAUCGCGCGCGGACGACGACUCGGUGUUUCUGCUGUUUGCCGACUCGGGCAGUGGGAUCAAACAGGAGGAUCUUGUGCGGCUGUUUCAGCCGUAUCACACGACCAAGUCGGGCGGCAGCGGGCUCGGGCUGAUGAUCGCGCAGCGGAUCAUGCGCGAUCACGGCGGCCAGAUCGGACUCGAGAGCAAGGAAGGUGUGGGCACGGUCGUGACGCUGCAAUUUCCGCGAAAAGACCGGCGCGUGCGGAUGCUGAAGC